rnacentral:rRNA from 1 species
GAUGAACGCUGGCGGCGUGCUUAACACAUGCAAGUCGAACGAAGCACUUUAUUUGAUUUCCUUCGGGACUGAUUAUUUUGUGACUGAGUGGCGGACGGGUGAGUAACGCGUGGGUAACCUGCCUUGUACAGGGGGAUAACAGUUGGAAACGGCUGCUAAUACCGCAUAAGCGCACAGCAUCGCAUGAUGCAGUGUGAAAAACUCCGGUGGUAUAAGAUGGACCCGCGUUGGAUUAGCUAGUUGGUGAGGUAACGGCCCACCAAGGCGAUGAUCCAUAGCCGACCUGAUAGGGUGACCGGCCACAUUGGGACUGAGACACGGCCCAAACUCCUACGGGAGGCAGCAGUGGGGAAUAUUGCACAAUGGGCGAAAGCCUGAUGCAGCGACGCCGCGUGAGCGAAGAAGUAUUUCGGUAUGUAAAGCUCUAUCAGCAGGGAAGAUAAUGACGUUACCUGACUAAGAAGCACCGGCUAAAUACGUG